UAGAAACUUGUGGAAGUGUUGAUCUGAUCUUCACCACAGAUACAGCUGGUGAUUAUUAUCAAGUUGGUUUAGGUGAUUGUGCCAAGACGUGUACAGCACUAACUAAAUUCAUGUCGUCCUCUACUCCAACCACCCUGACAGCCACUGAGAAUCCUCUACAAUGCUCCAGUUUUGCAGAUAUAUGGAUAAGUUGGGAGAGUGGUGCUAGAAAACUAGAAGUUGGAACAGGACACGUACUGAAUCAGAAUAUCUUGGUUGCUAUGGAGAACCUCGAUGAUCUGAACACUAUUGAAAAGAUGGAACCAAGGAGCACAGAUACGACACAGUGGAAAAUAGAUCUAUAUGGGUGUGAGUUUUUGAGCUGGCAAGAAUGGGGUAGUUGGUCAAUCUGUGACACGGCUGGUCAGGUCAAACAUAGAUAUCGUGUCUGUCAGUGUGAACAUCCUCCAUCAGAUCCAAACUUUGAUCCUCUCCUCUAUUGUAAUGGCGAUUACAGAGAAGAAAUUAAAAGUAACGCUGUCGUGUGCAGGAAAUGGAAGUAUAAGGGUAAACUUUAUUCCACAACCAUGGAUAAAUCAGUUACCACCGCAGUCUCACAGGCAGCCUGUAUGUUAAAUUGUAGAACAUCAUUCCCCAAUUGCUACUAUAUAUCUUACAAUAAGUUGGAGAAACUGUGUUGGAUGUAUAUCGGGGGAAUACCACAUUUUAAGUGGGUAUCGAAUCAGUUCAUUCCCAAUGAAAAUUUUAAAACACACGCUUUUUAUCGGUAGACGAUCGUUUAUUUAUAACACGGCACCAAAUGUACAGUU